UAUCAUGCCAUCAUCCCGUCGCUUAGCAACAAGCAUCAUUAAAAACAGUAUCAGGAAGAAUGCCUGGAUUGGAAAGACUUGUCAUCUCCAGAUUUCUUUUUUCCAGAUAUGCGAGGGAAGGCAAACUAGGAGGUACCUUCAAUUUAGAGUUUUGAAGAACCCUUAAGUUGCUUCUAAAAGUUAAAGUGACUGCUGGAUGGCUUAAGUGAAGAUGAUUAAGGACAAAAUGACUUGACCCUCAGAGUGUGGUAAAAAUGACAAGACCAAAGGAAACAGGGCUAAAUGACUUGACCAGGAUAACACAGCUAUGAACCUUUCAUGACUUCAUGGAAUAGAGUUCCUCUUCCCAGGUGUUUGUGACAUACUAUUCCUGCUGAGUACGGCAAAACAGAGAAAUCUCAGUUCAAGGCUGCAUAAAUAGUUCCAAGAAAUCCAACAGGUUAACUCCCCUGUUCACAUUCUGGGGAGGAUAGAUUGUGUCUCUCGAGAAGAGCUUGAAAUCUGAUGUGCUGCUUUCAAUAAAUGUUCAUUUUUCCUCUUUGAUAA